rnacentral:rRNA from 1 species
AGAGUUUGAUCCUGGCUCAGGAUGAACGCUAGCUACAGGCUUAACACAUGCAAGUCGAGGGGCAGCAUGUUGGUUUGCUUGCAACCAAUGAUGGCGACCGGCGCACGGGUGAGUAACGCGUAUCCAACCUACCCUUGUCCAUCGGAUAACCCGUCGAAAGGCGGCCUAACACGAUAUGCGGUUCUCAGCAGGCAUCUAACGAGAACGAAAUGUGAAGGAGAAGGAUGGGGAUGCGUCUGAUUAGCGUUGUUGGCGGGGUAACGGCCCACAAGGCGACGAUCAGUAGGGGUUCUGGAGAGGAAGGUCCCCCANAUUGGAACUGAGACACGGUCCAAACUCCUACGGGAGGCA